AGCGUUAACGUGGAGUGUACACUGAAAGCAAAAACCGAAAAGCUUCCUGUCAUUCAUACUUCGUCUUCACGCGGUAUCUCUUUUUCUUUUUGAAUGAAAAAAAAGGGCCAUCUAUUUAUUUCCACAGAAACAGAGAAACCCAAUAAGGGAAAAGCAAAAAAGACACCACCACAAAAUUCUAGAACCAAAGAAACAAAGAACAACGAGAACGGGAGCAUUCGAAGUUGUUAAGGCAGAUGAUGUUGAGAUCGUGUUACAGACCAUUAGAGAGGUGUUUUGGUCGGGUAGCAGGUGGUGGUGGCGGUGAUGGAUUGAUGUGGCAUGCUGAUUUAAAACAACAUGCGUCUGGUGAUUAUUCAAUUGCCGUUGUUCAAGCUAAUUCUAAUUUAGAAGAUCAAAGUCAGGUCCUUACGUCCUCCUCCGCUACUUAUGUUGGUGUUUAUGAUGGUCAUGGCGGUCCUGAAGCUUCCCGAUUUGUCAAUAAACAUUUGUUUCCUUACAUGCAUAAAUUUGCUACAGAGCAUGGGGGGUUAUCAGCUGACGUGAUAAGGAAGGCAUUUAAUGCAACUGAAGAGGAGUUUUGUCAUUUAGUGAAGCGAUCAUUACCAUGGAAGCCACAAAUUGCUUCUGCUGGAUCAUGUUGUUUGGUUGGAGCAAUUUCAAAUGAUGUGUUAUAUGUUGCGAACCUUGGGGACUCCAGGGUAGUUCUUGGCCGAGGAGUUGAUGAGGAUAAGAAAAAAAAGGUAGUGGCAGAAAGGUUAUCAACUGAUCACAAUGUUGCUGUUGAGGAGGUGAGAAAGGAGGUUCAGGCACUUCAUCCUGAUGAUUCACAUAUUGUAGUCUAUACUCGUGGAGUUUGGAGGAUUAAGGGCAUUAUACAGGUAUCUAGAUCCAUUGGUGAUGUGUAUCUGAAGAAACCAGAGAUUAACAGGGACCCAAUUUUUCAGCAGUUUGGGAACCCUAUUCCUUUGAAACGGCCAGUAAUGAAUCCAGAACCUUCCAUUCUCAUUAGAAAGUUGAGGCCAGAAGACUUGUUCCUGAUCUUUGCUUCAGAUGGUCUUUGGGAACAAUUGAGCGAUGAAGCAGCUGUAGAGAUUGUUUUCAAAAACCCAAGAGCUGGGAUUGCUAAGAGAUUGGUGAGAGCUGCUAUUCAGGAGGCUGCAAAGAAAAGAGAGAUGAGAUAUGAUGACAUAAAGAAAAUAAAAAAGGGAACGCGGCGGCAUUUUCAUGAUGAUAUCACUGUGAUUGUAAUUUAUCUUCAUCACCAAAAAGGUUCCUCCAAGGGUGGACUAAAGAAUAAUGUUGUUGGCUGCACCAGUGCUCCAGUCGACAUUUUCUCCCUUAAUGCAGAUCAAGCAGAGGUGGACUUGCUUCAAACAAUUUCUUGAACAAGGAAAAACCGUUUGAAGGGGCAACACUGACUUCUUGAUUUCAAGAAAUUACAGGUCAUCAUUCAUUAUUUUUGGGCUUGUAAAAUCUGACAGUUCCGGUAGCCAAUGGUCCAAGGGCAUUUUUAGGGGGUAAAUUGCACUGCAUUUGCCUUAUUAAAAGCCUCUGACUUCAAGCACUGGCCAUUCUUGAACCAUUGCACGUUAGCAGCACGUGAGAGAAACAGUGAUGGCGGCUGAAUUGCUUGGUGGAGCUGAUGUUGGAGCAGUGUUUGGUGAGCUGCUAGAAGCGUUUUGAAUGAGAUAAACAAAGCAGCGUUCAAGACGAGACUGAGGCAAAUAGGACAAACUCUACAAUCCAACAGUCCAAUUUUACAAGACAUGGAAAAGUUGAAUCAAGCAUUAAAUCGUAGAAAUGAGGAGACAGAAACAAUAAUAGAAGUAAUCAGGAAAGGCAAGACGCUCGUUGUUGUAUGCUCAGAAACUCGUAGGUAUAAUUGUUGUAGAAGGCAGAAAUACACAGACAAGCUCGUCAAGUUAGAAGAAUUCAGUGCCCAAGUUAUUCUUUCAAACUGUUAUGCCAACGCAAACAGUAAGGGACAGUAAAGAAAUUCUGUUGGAGCUAAGAGGCCAACAGCUCAAGUUCAAAAGGAAAAUUGAUGGACUUGUUGUCUCAUGUACAAUCUCUGGUGAAUGCUGUUGGAUUACAGGUGGCUUUAGGAGAAUUGAAGAUGGAGCUGUUUAAGGAUGGGAUGUCCAUUGCUGUGCUAUCUGCUCCUCCAGGCUGCGGAAAAACAACAUCGGCAAAACUACCUUGUCAUGUGUCCUGUGAAUGCUUUCCUUUUUAUGUAAUAAUCUCUACUAGUUCUUAGUAGCAACUCUCUCGUAUAGUUUUCGGUCUUUGAACAGGAAAAUUCAAGGAUAACAUCUUUUAUA